UUGACGGGACCCGCACAAGCGGUGGAUGGUGUGGCUUAAUUCGAUGCAACGCGAAAAACCUUACCCACCUUUGACAUGGCAGGAAGUAUUCAGAGAUGGAUACGUGCCCGAAAGGGAACCUGCACACAGGUGCUGCAUGGCUGUCGUCAGCUCGUGUCGUGAGAUGUUGGGUUAAGUCCCGCAACGAGCGCAACCCUUUGCCAUUAGUUGCUACGAAAGGGCACUCUAAUGGGACUGCCGGUGACAAACCGGGGAAGGUGGGGAUGACGUCAAGUCCUCAUGGCCCUUAUAGGUGGGGCUACACACGUCAUACAAUGGCUGGUACAGAGGGUUGCCAACCCGCGAGGGGGAGCUAAUCCCAUAAAGCCAGUCGUAGUCCGGAUCGCAGUCUGCAACUCGACUGCGUGAAGUCGGAAUCGCUAGUAAUCGCGGAUCAGAAUGUCGCGGUGAAUACCGUUCCCGGGUCUU
rnacentral:rRNA from 1 species